CAGCGGAAUGGAAAACUGUGAAGAUGAUAUGUUGCACGCGAAGUGUUCGAUGGAAUGUGUGAGUGUGUUUGGGUGAUUUUGGAAGUAGAGUUUUCUAGCUCAGAGGGCUUUCCUAGGGGGAAAGAAGCUAGAGGAUGCAAAGCUAAAGCUAGCAAAGUUUGAACUUGAAGAAGAACGGCCGAAAUUCAGCAGCAUCUCAUUACUAUCAUUCAAGUUAAUUUGUACAAUGAGUAAGCUUCCUUUUAUAGGAGAAGGAAAGCUCAUCAAUCUUGCAAGGUAAGCUAGCCAAUGUACAUGUGUUGAAAUAU
rnacentral:lncRNA from 1 species